rnacentral:rRNA from 1 species
UACGAAGGGGGGCUAGCGUUGCUCGGAAUUACUGGCGUAAAGCGCACGUAGGCGGAUUGUUAAGUCGGGGGUGAAAUCCUGGAGCUCAACUCCAGAACUGCCUUCGAUACUGGCGAUCUCGAGUUCGGGAGAGGUGAGUGGAACUGCGAGUGUAGAGGUGAAAUUCGUAGAUAUUCGCAAGAACACCAAGUGGCGAAGGCGGCUCACUGGCUCGGUACUGACGCUGAGGUGCGAAAGCGUGGGGA